GGAAUCAUUAAAAAGAAGGAAUCUAAGACUAUUUUAAAAAUUUCUCUCAAUGAUUUAAUAUUUGGGUUUUAUGUAUUUUAUUCCAUUUUAGCACUGUGAGAUAGCAUGAUUGCCUAAAGGACUGUAUUAAAGAUGAGUGCACAGUUCUGUCUUAUUUAUCUGCUGUCACAUUGUUUUGACACAGAAGAAAGUCAAGUAACAUUGAUGAAGAGCUAAAAUAUGCUCUAACUGUGGAAAAAAUAAAUAUAAAUUGUCCAUAGUUGCUCAAUUUCUAAAGUAAAAGGAAAAAAUACAGUGUAAGACUGUGAAUUAGUUCAGGAAGGUAAACUUAAGUAAUGUUUAUUUAACUUCAAGAUUUCAGUGGCUUAACUCAACAAAGGUCUGCUUCUUCUGCAUGUCACGGGACAAUGCUGGUUGGUAUGGAUGGCUCUUCUCCAUGCAGUAAUUCAGAGACACAGGCUUCUUUCAUCUAGUGAUUUAUUUUUCCCUGCAGCUUCAGAUACUCUUUUUCCCUCUCUCUGGGAUCCUUUGCAUCUGUCUGGCAGAUAUGGAGACGGAAAGCACAAGAGGAUUGUGUUAGGAGUCUUAAGGGCUGGAUGUGACACUCCUUGAAAGGGAAGCUGGGGAAUGAGUAUGUAGGUGUGUGUCCAGGAUGUAGGGAAAAUGGGUUUGGUGGGGACAGCACUUCCUGGAAUAACGUUGCUUUGGAUUUAACAACAGUUGGGCAAAGGAGGUCGGUAUACAGAUACAGGACAAGAAGAGUGGUGUCAAAGGGAGGCUAAAUCAUUGGUUCUGGCUUCAUCUAAGGAAUUCUUAUGAGAAAUCGAGGGAGAGACUGUCCUGGGAAGUCUGAUGAAACAUGAUCAAGAUAUUUUAACUUCUGUGUUUAGCGCCUUUAAUAGAUUGAGCUAAGAAGUCUAAGCAAUCUUCAGGGCUAAGAAACAAGCUGCACUUGCCAGAGUUGGAUGUUCACACCUUGGUGAUGGCUGAUAUUAAACAGAAUUCUUAAUGAACAAAUCGGCCUUGAAAAGGGAACAUGGUGAAGCAAGACAAAAGAAUUACAAACUUUGACUGAAACUUUCUCCUACCAGGAAUACAGGGACCGCUCACCAGGUUGUGAUGAGAAGGAUCAUCUGAAAUGCUCCAUUGCUCUCAGAAGUUGAGGUAACUUCAUUGGGCCCAAACUGAUAAACUAGGAAUGGCUCAGAAAAUAGCCCCUUAGAAGAACUGUAUGAAGCUUGGAUCCAUUUUUCUGAGAAAAAAGAAAAAUCCCUCCAAUGAUUUGGUGAGGAGUUGAAGACAAAUAUCUUUAUUAUUUAUAAGUAUUCUGGCCAAGACAAUGAGUGUUGGAGUGGGAGGAUGAGGGAAUUUUAUGAUGAACGACAGCACAGCAAGAUGGACAGUAAGGCUCUGUCAUUGCCAUACCAGAUGUACAGAAGUGUUGAUGGUUGUUUCUAGUUUGGGGCUAUUAUGAAGAAAGCUGCUAUGAAGAACAUCCAUGUACAAAUCAUUUUAUGGACACACAUACUCAUUGCUCUUGGGUAAAUAUCUAGGAAUAUGAUUUAUGGAUCAUAG
rnacentral:lncRNA from 1 species